AAUUUUUUGAACUUGGUAUAUUCUAGCCUGUGUCAAAGGCUUGUGAUAUGUUGUAAUAGCUGGGCUGAAGAAGUACAAUAUUAAAACAAAAGCCAUGAGUCAUUUAAGCCCAUUAUAGUUAUACCAUUAAGUUAUAACUAGGUACAACU
rnacentral:snoRNA from 1 species